UUUCGGUAAUCUGUCGCUCACGUACAGGCUGCCGGCGAUACUGCAAAGCUAGGGAGUGGGAGAGGUAGACGGUACUCGGUAGGAAGGGGUAAAAUCCUUUGAUCUAUUGAUGACCACCUGUGGCGAAGGCGGUCUACCAGAACACGUCCGACGGUGAGGGAUGAAAGCUGGGGGAGCAAACCGGAUUAGAUACCCGGGUAGUCCCAGCUGUAAACCAUGCAAACUCAGUGAUGCAUUGGCUUGUGGCCAAUGCAGUGCUGCAGGGAAGCCGUUAAGUUUGCCGCCUGGGAAGUACGUACGCAAGUAUGAAACUUAAAGGAAUUGGCGAGGGAGCACCACAAGGGGUGAAGCCUGCGGUUCAAUUGGAGUCAACGCCAGAAAUCUUACCCGGAGAGACAGCAGAAUGAAGGUCAAGCUGAAGACUUUACCAGACAAGCUGAGAGGUGGUGCAUGGCCGUCGCCAGCUCGUGCCGUGAGAUGUCCUGUUAAGUCAGGUAACGAGCGAGAUCCCUGCCUCUAGUUGCCACCAUUACUCUCAGGAGUAGUGGGGCGAAUUAGCGGGACCGCCGCGUUUAAAUGCCGGAG
rnacentral:rRNA from 1 species